rnacentral:lncRNA from 1 species
AAAAUAAAGCAAUCUAAAUUGGAUAACUAUGUCGGAGUUUAAUUUACAAUAUAAGGACGUGAACUAAUCAAUACAAUAAUAAACAUAGAGUAAUGAUACAUGAAUAAAAUUACACAAAUGUAUAACAAAAAUAUGAAAACGCGAAAAAAUUAAUUACGGCAUCCACAAUGACAACAUCCACUCAACAUACAUUAUUUGAAUACUAGUAUUAAUAAUCAAAGAUGAAUAAGUUAAGUAGCAUACAUGGCAAUUUCAAAAUGAGUAGCAUAAAACAAAUUAAAGCAAAUGAAAUGUAGGAUUGUUUUGAAAAAUAAUAAAUGGGCUUUGAAUGAAUAAUAUGAAAAAGAGAAAAUUGAAAAAAAAUCAAUUAUAUACAAAACAAUUUUAAAAAUACUAUGUAUAAAAAUUUUUAAAAUAAAUAAUAUGUAUGUUCAUAUAAAAAACAUAAAAUGAGAAAAAUCUUCAAAUGUAUAAUAAAUAAAACAUAAAACAAAUAGCAUAGUUGAAAAGGUACAAAAUAAUUUUAAAAUAAUUAUUGUAUAUAGUACAUUCUAAUAUAAGAUAAAAUAAUGUACAAAAUACUUAGUAUAUGGAAAUUCAAAAUAAACAAAAAUAAAACAGUUUUGAAGUAAACAAUAUGAAGAAUUUCGAAAUAAAUAGGAUAGGAAACAAUUUAAAUUACAUAGUACAUAUAAAUUUAGAAUGGGUAAGGUAUACACAUAUAUUCGAAAUAAAUAACAUAUAAAAUAUUUGAGAUAAAUACUAGUCAAUCUAAAAUAGUUUAAAAUAAAAUAAUAUAUAAAAGAAAAUCUUAAAUAAUAAAAGAAAUAGUUUAAAAAAAUAAAAAAAUAAAAAAAAUGGUGUUAAAAGGUUAAGGGCGCGAUUGAAAUCAUAAUAAAAUAAAGGGGCAUAAUUAAAAAUUUAAAAGAAAUGGAGCAAGGGAUUGAAAUGAAAAGCGCUGAGGACGCAAGGGACUAACUGUGAGAAUUCCCCAUCCCUUAUGCGCAUCACCUUGCAGGACCAGAUUGGAACACGCGAAAACUUAUGUGGCCGAAAUUAAAAUGAAACAAAAGGCAGCAUUGAAUGCGCCGCAGGAUUGGGGGGACCAAAUGCGCAAAUUACCCAUUAGGGCAAGGAUGCGCAGGUCUCCCCUUUAAACGGCGUCGUUUUAAUCAACAUAAAAGCUAAAAAAACCUUCAUUUUUCUGCCGUUUCAUUUUGCUGCAAAGAACGCAAAAAAAAAAAACAAAAGGGGAGGUUCCCCUUCUCUGCCGGAGUUCCAAGGCCAUGGAACAGUGAACGAAAAAACUUUGGCCCCUCCCUAAACCCCAUCCGGCGACGACGAAAGACCAUCGACGGCGGGCCUAAGGGCUGAUUCGGGUGCACUCCCUCCUCUUUUUUUUAUUUAUUUUCCUUAUUAAAAUGAAGUUGUAAAAAGAAAAAGAUAGAAAUAAAAUUAAAAUGAAAAUAAAACGAAUAGAAAACAGUAAAGGUUUAACCUUUUUGAACUUUUAUUUUUGCUAUUUUGAUUUCUGAUGUGCGUUUUUUUUACAAAGAAAAAUCGAAGAAGAACGAUGCAAGAAAACGUUCGGCCUUUAUAGCCAAAAUACAAAAAAUCGAAGAAGAACGAUGCAAGAAAACGUUCGGCCUUUAUAGCCAAAAUACAAAAUCUUUCCGUUCUAUUCUUUGUCGUUUCUUUUUGUCUAUCUCUUCUUUUGUUGUUUUCUUUUUAGUCCGCGUGUCUUCUUCUCCUUGCAGGUGCCCGUGGCCGACAGUGGUGGCAGAGGCGUGCGAGUGGGCGUGGCAGACGAGGAGGCCACGCGAGGCAUGCGGCGCUAGGGUUUGGGGGCAACUUUCUGCCGAAAAUGUUAAUGUUGUCUUGGCUGGGUUUUUAAUUUUUGUUACAACAAGCCAUGGGCUACAUUGGGCUUGUUAUUUUCCUUUGUAAUUGGACUGUCGUUUAUCUUGUUUUAAUAUUCGGGCUUGGGCAUAAAAUUGGGCCUUACAGAAUCCAUCAAAGAAUUUCCUAUAAAAUUUAAGCUUGCCAAACCUAUAAAAUAUCUAACAAAGAAAAUUAAAGUAAAGAAUCAAAAAACAAGAUGCCUUGUUCAACCGAUUCAACUCAACCGCAAUUAAAAAUCCCUAAAGCAAUGGAUUACCAUGACGAGUAUAUGCAAACGAUUUUCUCUCUACAACUCAUCCGAGCCACAACCAAGUCGAUGAAAGUCUGACUCGACGAGUC